AGUGGGGAAUAUUGGACAAUGGGCGAAAGCCUGAUCCAGCCAUGCCGCGUGUGUGAAGAAGGUCUUCGGAUUGUAAAGCACUUUAAGUUGGGAGGAAGGGUUGUACGUUAAUACCGUGCAAUUUUGACGUUACCGACAGAAUAAGCACCGGCUAACUCUGUGCCAGCAGCCGCGGUAAUACAGAGGGUGCAAGCGUUAAUCGGAAUUACUGGGCGUAAAGCGCGCGUAGGUGGUUUGUUAAGUUGGAUGUGAAAGCCCCGGGCUCAACCUGGGAACUGCAUCCAAAACUGGCAAGCUAGAGUAGGGCAGAGGGUGGUGGAAUUUCCUGUGUAGCGGUGAAAUGCGUAGAUAUAGGAAGGAACACCAGUGGCGAAGGCGACCACCUGGGCUCAUACUGACACUGAGGUGCGAAAGCGUGGGGAGCAAA
rnacentral:rRNA from 1 species